AGUUCUGCAGGUGGAAACAUCUUGUUGGUGAGAGUUCAGAGGAGAAUGACCAGACUGGUUCGAGCUGCCAGGAAGCCUACAGUAACUCAGAUAACCGUGAGGUGGAUGGGAAUCGGAUUUCUGUCAGUCACAAACAGGAAUCUGAGGCUACAGCAGGCACAGGAUCACCAAAAUUAGACAGGAGACCUCAGCAGGCGGUAACACAAGCGCCAAAUUUUGGACUAAAGUGGGUUUGAAAAUACAACCGCUCCUGUGGAUUUCAAAGUUCCCACUCCCUGUUGGGCUUCAGCAUUCACAACAGCACAAGUGAUAAGACCUGAGAAAUAGACGGCUUACAUCUCUGUAGCCUUGCCCAUGCUGACCCCAGAUUUCCCCUGCCACAUCCUUGCAGCCCC